rnacentral:rRNA from 1 species
AGUGAACGCUGGCGGUAGGCCUAACACAUGCAAGUCGAACGGCAGCACAGUAAGAGCUUGCUCUUACGGGUGGCGAGUGGCGGACGGGUGAGGAAUACAUCGGAAUCUACUUUUUCGUGGGGGAUAACGUAGGGAAACUUACGCUAAUACCGCAUACGACCUACGGGUGAAAGCAGGGGAUCUUCGGACCUUGCGCGAUUGAAUGAGCCGAUGUCGGAUUAGCUAGUUGGCGGGGUAAAGGCCCACCAAGGCGACGAUCCGUAGCUGGUCUGAGAGGAUGAUCAGCCACACUGGAACUGAGACACGGUCCAGACUCCUACGGGAGGCAGCAGUGGGGAAUAUUGGACAAUGGGCGCAAGCCUGAUCCAGCCAAACCGCGUGGGUGAAGAAGGCCUUCGGGUUGUAAAGCCCUUUUGUUGGGAAAGAAAAGCAGCAGGCUAAUACCCCGCUGUUCUGACGGUACCCAAAGAAUAAGCACCGGCUAACUUCGUG